GAUGAACGCUAGCGGCAGGCUUAAUACAUGCAAGUCGAACGGGAUUCGGUGUAGCAAUACAUUGAUGAGAGUGGCGCACGGGUGCGUAACGCGUAUGCAACCUACCUUUAACAGGUGAAUAGCCCCGAGAAAUCGGGAUUAAUACACCGUAACAUUGCGGGAUGGCAUCAUUCUGCAAUUAAAGAUUUAUCGGUUAAAGAUGGGCAUGCGUGACAUUAGCUAGUUGGUGAGGUAACGGCUCACCAAGGCGACGAUGUCUAGGGGUCCUGAGAGGGUUAUCCCCCACACUGGUACUGAGACACGGACCAGACUCCUACGGGAGGCAGCAGUAAGGAAUAUUGGUCAAUGGGCGCAAGCCUGAACCAGCCAUGCCGCGUGCAGGAAGACGGCCCUAUGGGUUGUAAACUGCUUUUGUCAGGGAAUAAACCUGUCUACGAGUAGGCAGCUGAAGGUACCUGAAGAAUAAGCAUCGGCUAACUCCGUGCCAG
rnacentral:rRNA from 1 species